AAAGAAAAGGGGGCGAGGGAAGCGGGCAACUUAGCAGAAAAACCCGGGCUUCUGGCGGAGCCCAAGGAAAAGGCAAGCGGCUACCUUCCCUGGGAAGUGAAUGCGAUGGCACUGAACGGGGAUGACUUGUGGAGAAAUAUGUAUGAUAUUGAACAGAGUGGAUUUUACAGUGUGCCUAGUGAAACUGAGAGCAAAAUGCAGAAGGACUUCAAAUGCUGCAAACACUUAUUUGUCAGCUAGGAUCCUGGAAACUGUCAAAUAUGUUAUAUGGCCUAAUCCCCUUAAUAUAACCCGACAGACAAAGAAGAAUUACAUGUAUUUAAAACUACAAUAUCUUAUUAAAAUAUUGUUAACCUCA